CAGAAAUGGGAGUCGACACCGGUAGUCGACAGGCAAGGAGUCGAGGAACCCACCACAGUUUCGCGAAAUGUACACAAACAACUUUGAAAAGAUCUGACUGCUAAGUGGUAGUCCCUGUUCUCCUGCAUUCUUGUUUUACUUUUGAAUCUUCUAGCUUGGAUGAUAGGAUGGAGAAGGGAACAAAGUUCCUGAAACAUGUAGAUGACAUGAUGCAUGGCCUCUACAGCAGUGCUUGGCCACCCAUUCAUUUUCCAGUGAUCUUUUCUGCCACAUCCCAGGUAAGGGAGGGCAGAAUCAUCCCUCCUUAAAUCCACAGUCAUUGACAUUUCCCUGGCACACAAAUGUACUUGUUUCAUUUCAAAUGCUGAGCCGGACAGGAAAAUGGUUAAAUUCACACACUUAUCAAGAGAACAUCCCUGGUCAUCCCUACUGCCUCAGAUCUAGCGGACUCACUAAACACAUGCUUCAUUUGUAAAUUAUGUCUGAUUGUUGGAGUGUUCCCCUGGUUAUUUCUUAAAUAAAAUAACAACAGAAUCGUGCUGUCUGGUUUGCUUAAUAUAUGGAAGGUCAAAUUAUUGAUACUUUUACCACUGAUACUUAAGUAUAUUUUAGCAAUGACGUCUACUUAGUAUUUUACUGGGUGACUUUCACUUUUACUUGAGUCAUUUUCUAUUAACGUCAUCAUCUUAAUAUUGUAACUUUUUCCCUUCAUUUGCCUACUACUGUCUAUAAG
rnacentral:lncRNA from 1 species